GAUGAACGCUAGCUACAGGCUUAACACAUGCAAGUCGAGGGGAAACGACAUCGAAAGCUUGCUUUUGAUGGGCGUCGACCGGCGCACGGGUGAGUAACUCGUAUCCAACCUGCCCAUCACUUGGGAAUAACCUUGCGAAAGUAAGACUAAUACCCAAUGACAUCCCACGAAGACAUCUGAAUGGGAUUAAAGAUUUAUCGGUGAUGGAUGGGGAUGCGUCUGAUUAGCUUGUUGGCGGGGUAACGGCCCACCAAGGCAACGAUCAGUAGGGGUUCUGAGAGGAAGGUCCCCCACAUUGGAACUGAGACACGGUCCAAACUCCUACGGGAGGCAGCAGUGAGGAAUAUUGGUCAAUGGACGAGAGCCUGAACCAGCCAAGUAGCGUGCAGGAUGACGGCCCUAUGGGUUGUAAACUGCUUUUAUAAGGGAAUAAAGUGGGUCUCGUGAGACUUUUUGCAUGUACCUUAUGAAUAAGGACCGGCUAAUUCCGUG
rnacentral:rRNA from 1 species